UGGGGAAUAUUGCACAAUGGGCGCAAGCCUGAUGCAGCCAUGCCGCGUGUAUGAAGAAGGCCUUCGGGUUGUAAAGUACUUUCAGCGGGGAGGAAGGUGUUGAGGUUAAUAACCUCAGCAAUUGACGUUACCCGCAGAAGAAGCACCGGCUAACUCCGUGCCAGCAGCCGCGGUAAUACGGAGGGUGCAAGCGUUAAUCGGAAUUACUGGGCGUAAAGCGCACGCAGGCGGUCUGUCAAGUCGGAUGUGAAAUCCCCGGGCUCAACCUGGUAACUGCAUUCGAAACUGGCAGGCUAGAGUCUUGUAGAGGGGGGUAGAAUUCCAGGUGUAGCGGUGAAAUGCGUAGAGAUCUGGAGGAAUACCGGUGGCGAAGGCGGCCCCCUGGACAAAGACUGACGCUCAGGUGCGAAAGCGUGGGGAGCAAACA
rnacentral:rRNA from 1 species